UUCUAGUUUAGAACACAAUUGCACACACACGGCUUUCUCUUGGGCUACCUGACAAUGAGAUCUUUUAUUUUCUACACUCCCUUGUACUUUACAUGUACCCCCCCCCCCCUUUCUCAUGUAUGCUUUUACUUGCUUUCCUCUUUUAUUGCUUUAUAGCUACUCCUUAGGCUUUAGGAGCGCUCACCAUUUUGCAACCAAUAAUCAAACCCUUGAUCCAACAUCAAGCGGUCUUU
rnacentral:lncRNA from 1 species